UGACUCACAGUGACAAACAACCAGGGCACUGAUCUUUCCUCUGUGUCCUUCCAGCUUCUCCUGAGGACAACCUGAGUUUAGUGAGCCCACCACCAAGUGAAGAUAAUGAUUGUGAUGAUGAUGAGGAUGAUGAUGAUGUCCAGAUUUUACCAUCACGUGUCCAGGUUUGUCCUGAGGAUGGCCUGGUUUUAAGAGGCUCACCGCCAUGUAAAGAUCAAGAAGAAGAAAAAGAAGAUGAUGAUGCUAAGAAUGAUGCCCACAUAACAGCUUGGAGCGAAAACGACUUGAUGCUGGAGAGUAUAAGUGAUAGAAGUUACGAGGAGACUCAUCCAGGUAGGGAGCUACGUGCCAGGAAAAACCCAAUGGGAAAAGGUUCCCAGGAGCCUCCAGGUUAUCCCUGCUGAUUGGGAGGAGGGGCUGCAGGAGGGAGUAUGAAACCAGAAGGAAAAUGGAAAUAUAUGUGAGGUCUGGCUUAUUGUUUUCAGUUUCUUGGCAUCAUGGUAAGAACUGUCUCUAUGGGCUUUGGGGGUGCCGCGUUCAUGAGAGAUUCUCUUUGCAGUCCACCUGCUCUUUUCUGCCUGUGGAACAUCAGAGCCUUUGGUUUGGAUUAGUCAGCACUCCUAGGGAUUGUGCACAAGGGUGUAGGCUUAAGCACUGGGUGUCAUCUGUGAUGAAGGGAAUCUGGGGGACACAGCUCUCUCACAGGCAUUUCCUGGAACCUAGAGAAACAGUUCUGCUGUGUGCCAAGGGGAAAUCGAGAGUCACCCUCUGACCUUUCAGGACUUGUUAGUGCUCGUUCAUGUUUCUGUGCUCACGGUGCACUCCUGGUUUAAAGGGAUCUGCUGGGGUGGAUGGCGGAGUGAAUAUUCCGGUGCCAUUUGCUCUCUGGCAUCUCUCUGGCCCCCAGUGCCCCCACCGCUUUGCCGUCCCUCCCCCUCAGAGACAUCCUCUGCUUCCAGCUCCCUCCUGCCGGUAGUCGGCUUUCCCAGGGCUCGGCAUGGGGGACAAAGGCUGCUUCUGCCUCUGUCUUUGUUGUUGAACCUUCUUUGUUGAGACCUUUUUGGUCUAGUCUCUCCCUCUUCUCAGUAAAAUUUCAAAUACUUCAGUUUUGGAGUCCCCAUCCCAUUCUCUAUCCUUACCUAUGCAGCUGGUCUGGGCCCUAAGUGAACGAGUCAGUUAAGGGCCCAAUUGUUUCUUUUCUCCCAUUCCUUAAGGUAAGCUAAUAACUGGGAUAAUUCAGACUCAAAUAUGUGUAGAAUUCUUAAAUUCAAAAUACACUUUGUCAUGGAAGAGAGUAUAUGAUAUUCUUAGUAGAUGGUUUUAAGUCACAUUAGCAGAAACUACAAGAACAAUAAUUGGGGGACAUGCUUGAAAUGACUGCAAAAGUUAUGACAUGUUACGGCCAGAGUCCUAAAAAAGUUGUUUUUGUUUUGGUUUUACUCAAAGGAGUUUAGCCAUGGAGCUCUGAUUACUGUAAAAUUCCCACUUUGGCAUGAAUGUCUCUUCAGCUCUGCUGCAGUUUAGUCCCUAUUUUAUAGACAAGAAAUGGAAAAUGUGAUGUGUCCUAGGCUUUCAUGCAAGUCACAGUCAUCACUGUUUACUGACAGUGAGACCAGGGCUCUGGGAGUGGCUACGGUCAAGUUCAAGACAAAGAACUAACACUUGUAAGACAGGAGAGAAGCAUUUACUUAAAAAAGCAGUCAGAAAUGUAUAUAUAACUACAUUUGGUGCGCAAAUGAAAGCUGCCAGACUCAGAAAAACAGAGAUGCUAAUGGAACUGACUUCAGUAACCAGGGUUUUCUAUGGAAUUCAUUGCCCAGCGUGACUUCCAAUAAAACCCCCACCGCCGGCACUUUUCUCAGGACUGGAGAGCUCAGGCAGCCCAGGACGAAUAGUGCAGUCACCGCAGACGGGCAGGGUGGCCACAAGGUAGGCAGCAGCAGGGAUGGGCAUUGUGGGCAUUUGGUAUGUCUGCGGAGUGGGGCAUUAUGAGCCAGUAGCCUGACUUGGUUGCUUCCUGGUAACCAGGUGGCAUAGCAGGCUUUGUGGGUACUAGGCAUCAGCCAUGGCCAGCAACCUUCAGUCGGUAGAUGACAGUGGAAUGAGAAGCUCUGGCUACACUCUCAUGGCUGUUUAUGUGCCUCUUGGAGCUUGUUGCGUCCCUUUCUUUUUGAAAUAAGACAGAAGUUCCCCACCUUCACAGACAGAGAGAAAGCCCAUCUUAUUUUUUUUUUUAAAGAACCAAAAAUGUGAGGGGGAGUCUUGUGAGGAUGAUGGGAGGUCUUUCAGAGAGGAAUAUCUUCCAUGGAAUUCCUGAAAUGGGAACAAACUCGUUUUGGGCAAAGAACAGAAAGACACAAGGGUGGCUGCAGCAGAGUGAAAUGAAUAUGAUGGGUUAAGACCUUGUGCACACAGUGAGCACUGACAAAGAAUAUGGACUUUAGUUGAGAUGGGAAACCACUGGAGGAUUAUAGCCUGGGGAUCACAGUUAAUUCUCCAAGAAAAAGACUGACCAGCGACUCUGUGAGAAUGUACUGUAAUGCAGGCAAGGGUGGAAGCAGGGAGACCAGCUAGGAGGCUGGUUGGGUAGUUCAGGUGAGAGUCAACAGUGAAGAGACAAACAAUAAUGACCUGAAAUAGGCUGAAUUGAGAAUCUUUAGAUUCAAGUGAAUCUGAAAGAUAAUAAAGUGGUAAAUAGACAAGUCACAGGAAAAGAAAUGCAGAUGAUCCUUAAACACAUCUUCACACAUAAGAGAAAGGCAAAUGUCAACUAUACUGCAGUGUCUCUCCUAUUGAGGGAAAUUCCAAAAACACAGCAAUACAUCCUCUGGUUUGGCUGUAAGGGAAGUUACAUUCAUAUAGUGCUGGUGAAAAUGCAAAAUGGCUCGACUCCAUGAAGGGGAAUUUGGCACAAUCUCACAACCUUGCAAAUACAUUUAAACCGGAAACCCUACUUGGAGGCGUUUUAUCCUGAAGGUAUACUCCAUAAAUAUGAAACAAUCUAUGCAGAAAGUCCUUGUCACACUGUUUUCCGUAGCUCAAUAUGGGAAAUAACUGAAAUGUCUAGUAAGGGCCUAUUAAAAUUAACUGGUACUUCCGCCUAAAGGAGAACUACGGAGCUGUAAAUAAGGGUAAGAUGUCUUUUUACUGCUACCGAGUGAUUCCCAAGAUAGGUUACACAGAAAAGGAAAAAGGGAGAACAUGCAGUAAUAUACACAAAAGAAAGCAGGGGGAAUAAUGUGUGAUUAUUAAAACAUAAAAACAACGCUGGGGAAUUCUUGAUGAUGGGACUGUUCUCUCCUUAACUUCAGUGGGUAGCCGAAGUGCGUAUUUUCUCAAAAUAUUAUUUUGGUGUGGUUUUUUAAAGGAUGUUAACUGUUUACUUUUGACCUUUGAGUUAAUUUGAGAAAGCUUUACUUUGUAAUUGAUUGUGCAUUAUGUAGUAUAUAGACUGCUCUUACAUAUUAUUUGAUCCUCUCAAUGUUUUAAGUUAGGUGUAAUAUGGCAAUUUUACUUGUGUUACAUGAGAAGUCU